UGGGGAAUCUUGGACAAUGGGGGCAACCCUGAUCCAGCCAUGCCGCGUGAGUGAUGAAGGCCUUAGGGUCGUAAAGCUCUUUCGCCUGUGAAGAUAAUGACGGUAGCAGGUAAAGAAACCCCGGCUAACUCCGUGCCAGCAGCCGCGGUAAUACGGAGGGGGUUAGCGUUGUUCGGAAUUACUGGGCGUAAAGCGCACGUAGGCGGACCAGAAAGUUGGGGGUGAAAUCCCGGGGGCUCAACCCCGGAACUGCCUCCAAAACUAUUGGUCUAGAGUUCGAGAGAGGUGAGUGGAAUUCCAAGUGUAGAGGUGAAAUUCGUAGAUAUUUGGAGGAACACCAGUGGCGAAGGCGGCUCACUGGCUCGAUACUGACGCUGAGGUGCGAAAGUGUGGGGAGCAAACAGGAUUAGAUACCCUGGUAGUCACACCGUAAACGAUGAAUGCCAGUCGUCGGGUAGCAUGCUAUUCGGUG
rnacentral:rRNA from 1 species